rnacentral:rRNA from 1 species
AAAACGACUCUCGGCAACGGAUAUCUCGGCUCUCGCAUCGAUGAAAAACGUAGCGAAAUGCGAUACUUGGUGUGAAUUGCAGAAUCCCGCGAACCAUCGAGUCUUUGAACGCAAGUUGCGCCCGAAGCCAUUAGGCCGAGGGCACGUCUGCCUGGGCGUCACG